AGAGUUGAUCAUGGCUCAGGACGAACGCUGGCGGCAUGCCUAACACAUGCAAGUCGAACGGAGGCAGAAAUGCCUUAGUGGCGAACGGGUGAGUAACACGUGAGUAACCUGCCCUGUACACUGGGAUAACACCUGGAAACGGGUGCUAAUACCGGAUAAGACCACAACCGAGGCAUCUCGGGGGGUCAAAGUGAAUUUAGCGGUACAGGAUGGACUCGCGUCCAAUUAGCUAGUUGGCGGGAUAACAGCCCCACCAAGGCGACGAUUGGUAGCCGGAUUGAGAGAUUGAUCGGCCACAUUGGAACUGAGGUACGGUCCAAACUCCUACGGGAGGCAGCAGUGGGGAAUAUUGGGCAAUGGAGGAAACUUCCUUACCCAGCAAUGCCGCGUGAGUGAAGAAGGUCUUCGGAUUGUAAAGCUCUUUGAUUGGGGACGAAUAAAUGACGGUACCCAAGGAACAAGCCCCGGCUAACUAUGUGCCAGCAGCCGC
rnacentral:rRNA from 1 species